GAGUUUGAUCUUGGCUCAGAUUGAACGCUGGCGGCAGGCCUAACACAUGCAAGUCGAGCGGUAGAGAGAAGCUUGCUUCUCUUGAGAGCGGCGGACGGGUGAGUAAUGCCUAGGAAUCUGCCUGGUAGUGGGGGAUAACGCUCGGAAACGGACGCUAAUACCGCAUACGUCCUACGGGAGAAAGCAGGGGACCUUCGGGCCUUGCGCUAUCAGAUGAGCCUAGGUCGGAUUAGCUAGUUGGUGAGGUAAUGGCUCACCAAGGCGACGAUCCGUAACUGGUCUGAGAGGAUGAUCAGUCACACUGGAACUGAGACACGGUCCAGACUCCUACGGGAGGCAGCAGUGGGGAAUAUUGGACAAUGGGCGAAAGCCUGAUCCAGCCAUGCCGCGUGUGUGAAGAAGGUCUUCGGAUUGUAAAGCACUUUAAGUUGGGAGGAAGGGCAGUAAAUUAAUACUUUGCUGUUUUGACGUUACCGACAGAAUAAGCACCGGCUAACU
rnacentral:rRNA from 1 species